GUAUAAAAUGUUGACAUUUGACUAUGCCAUGUUUUUGUUCUGUUUUUGUUUAUUUGGUCAUGUAAGUGUUGCACAGUAUACAUGUCAUUCAUAAGUGGGAGUGUUAAGAGUGUAUGAAUGCAUGUACCUGUAACUGUUUCCUGAGUCGUGAUAUCAAGAGCACCAUUCCCAUAUAAGGGCAGUGUUCCCUCCCCUUUCUCAGUGUGUACCCGUCUCUCCCGUGAGCGGGCAGUUGAGCAUGUUGUGCUUGCAUUAAAGAAUGCCACGAGUCGGAUGGCUAAAGAGAUAAACGCCUGGACGUCCGUUCAUUCUCUGAAUAUCAUUGUUCCGCCGCGCAGGUAGGAGUAAGCCUACCUAUUAACAGAGAAGGCGCGCGAGGUGGUGGCGAGCGGCGUGGUGGCCCGCGGGGCGCAAGUGCCCGUUCUGUCGCUCGCCGUGCCGGCUGUCAGGGUGACGGACGGCGCAGAGAGCAGCAGAUGGCAGUGCAGGCCUGAAUACAGAGGAAUGGCAUCUGGACAACAGAUCACUCACUCAGAGACCUACUUGUCAGGCCAAGCCUAAUUUAUGGUGUUUCAUAGAUCCUGCUUAGAAUAUAAAUAGUAAUGUAAUAUAUAUAUAUUGACUAAGAAGGGAUCAUUUCUUGUGGAAUGUGUCUCCCACCUAAACAUCAGCAGUUUGAGUACAUUUUUAACCGUUACAACAGCUUUAAUACUGCACUUCACCGUCUUCAUUUUCACACCUGUGUUGGUCUCAAUAAUGGGAACAAUGAAAUAAUCAAGUUAGACGUUAUUUAGUUAAAAUGACAAAACAGAGAAAGUGAAUUGAGGAGAAACAUUAGAGUAAUAAUCUCAAAGGUUUUCAUUGAAAUAAAUCUCUGUUGAAUAACCAUCCAUUACUGAAUGAGCUAACAUAAUGGGCAUUGAGCCUAGUGCUCACUGAUGAAACCCCAUGCAUUUACAGUAUUAUGAAUUUGGUGGCAACAUUCCCAACACUGUUCCCAUCUCUGGGAAUUGAGAUCCCGUCUUGCAAUUACUGCUUAUUGCCGUAUGUGCCGCCAAAGAGACGGAAACAGAGAUCUUUGAGAUUGUGACUCUAAGAAAAGGAAAUGAAUGCACAGAUGCACGAUGCGCAGAUGUGGUUAUCACAGUUAUUAGAAGAUUUGGAGGAAAUUGAGUUAGUAAAAGACAAGUAAGUAGGCUAUACAUCCACCAUUCUAUUUACAUGUGUUAGUUUUAUGGGAUUGGCCUGCUUCCAUCUGUCUUUAAUGGAUGUACGUUUUGAGAAAAAAUAAAAGCACGGCCUUUGAUCAUCAAAUGAUCAUAUCAACAUGUUUAUGUUGCAUUAUUCAUGUUUUUAUUGCCACUUUAAUUUUGUAUUUGUAUUUAGUUGUGCAGUCAGUCUUGACAAGCUUACAAUUUGGGUGGAACACUAAUUCAGCAAGAUCAGUUAAAUUAACUUGCGCCAUGUCUACCAUUUAUAUAAACAUUUUCUUUUUACGCUUCUAGAGAAUGUUUAUUGCACAUUGCC
ensembl:lncRNA